UCUAAAAUGGCAGAUUAGUGCAUUGGAUUUAAACCCCAAAUAUAAUAAAAUUAUUUUUUAGAA
rnacentral:tRNA from 1 species